GAUGAACGCUGGCGGCGUGCCUAAUACAUGCAAGUCGAGCGAACAGACGAGGAGCUUGCUCCUCUGACGUUAGCGGCGGACGGGUGAGUAACACGUGGAUAACCUACCUAUAAGACUGGGAUAACUUCGGGAAACCGGAGCUAAUACCGGAUAAUAUUUUGAACCGCAUGGUUCAAUAGUGAAAGACGGUUUUGCUGUCACUUAUAGAUGGAUCCGCGCUGCAUUAGCUAGUUGGUAAGGUAACGGCUUACCAAGGCAACGAUGCGUAGCCGACCUGAGAGGGUGAUCGGCCACACUGGAACUGAGACACGGUCCAGACUCCUACGGGAGGCAGCAGUAGGGAAUCUUCCGCAAUGGGCGAAAGCCUGACGGAGCAACGCCGCGUGAGUGAUGAAGGUCUUCGGAUCGUAAAACUCUGUUAUUAGGGAAGAACAUAUGUGUAAGUAACUGUGCACGUCUUGACGGUACCUAAUCAGAAAGCCACGGCUAACUACGUG
rnacentral:rRNA from 1 species